rnacentral:lncRNA from 1 species
UGUUUUUAUGCCCAACCUACAGAAGAGCAUUAUGUGUUCUGGUCUGUGUGUCCGUCUGUUCGUUUGUUUGUUCGUCUGUUCAUCCAUCUGUCUGUGCGUCCGUCUGUCCGGCUUCAGGUUUAAGUUUUUGGUCAAGGUAGUUUUUGAUGAAGCUGAAGUCCAAUCAACUUGAAACUUAGCACACUUGUUGCUUAUGAUAUAAACUUUUUCUUAAACUAUUGGCA